rnacentral:rRNA from 1 species
AGUAACGGCGAGUGAAGCGGCAACAGCUCAAAUUUGAAAUCUGGCGCAAGCCCGAGUUGUAAUUUGUAGAGGAUGUUUCUGGCGACGUGCCUUCCGAGUUCCCUGGAACGGGACGCCAUAGAGGGUGAGAGCCCCGUACGGUUGGAUGCCUAGCCUCUGUGAAACUCCUUCGACGAGUCGAGUUGUUUGGGAAUGCUGCUCUAAUUGGGAGGUAAAUCUCUCCUAAAGCUAAAUACUGGCCAGAGACCGAU